rnacentral:rRNA from 1 species
GCAUAACGCGAAGAACCUUACCAGGUCUUGACAUCCUCUGACAACUCUAGAGAUAGAGCGUUCCCCUUCGGGGGACAGAGUGACAGGUGGUGCAUGGUUGUCGUCAGCUCGUGUCGUGAGAUGUUGGGUUAAGUCCCGCAACGAGCGCAACCCUUGAUCUUAGUUGCCAGCAUUUAGUUGGGCACUCUAAGGUGACUGCCGGUGACAAACCGGAGGAAGGUGGGGAUGACGUCAAAUCAUCAUGCCCCUUAUGACCUGGGCUACACACGUGCUACAAUGGAUGGUACAAAGGGCUGCAAGACCGCGAGGUCAAGCCAAUCCCAUAAAACCAUUCUCAGUUCGGAUUGUAGGCUGCAACUCGCCUACAUGAAGCUGGAAUCGCUAGUAAUCGCGGAUCAGCAUGCCGCGGUGAAUACGUUCCCGGGUCUUGUACACACCG